GCAUGGACGAAUUCUGUGUUACUCUGUCAGUAGUAAAUGCAGUCAGACACCAUGCAAAAGUAUCGUUUCACUUCUCUCUUACUAAGGGCAAGUGCUAUCCUGUGUCUUAGCCAGUCAACGGAGGAGUGAACACAUUG
ensembl:snoRNA